UUGUAAGAAAGAUGAUCCAAAAAGCUUCCCCAUUUGGAAAGUUUUUUUUUCCUUUUUUCCUUUUCAUUUCCCUGGGUUUAUCAUAUAAAAGUAUUGACCUGGACAAUGUUCAAUUUACCUGUUUUUUUUCCUUCUUCUGUCACCUUUGCUGUCUGUGUCUCUACUUUUUAGAGGACACGCGUGCUUCAUGAGUAGAGCAACUGGUUUUUAUGAUGCUGGGUGUGGCACCUUGUUCCUUCUGUCUUGUGAAGGCUCCUUGGCAUAAACCUAUGACCCCCAAGCCCAUUCAUGUUGUGGGAUGUCUCCCCCUCUCUGCCUGCCUGACCUCCAACCUCCUCCUUUCUGAGGCCACCCUUGAGCCGUAAACAGAGAGGCCACAGGACAGGAAUCACGCAGGAUAACUAAUUCUGACUCACAGAAGCUGUCUUAAAUUGGAUAGAAAUGAGGAAAAAUAGGAUUAAAUAGAAAGCCAAGCCAAGAACAGACGAAGGAAAAGUCCCGAGGAGCUGGCCCCUGGUUGCACGGGCGCUCCGAGGCAGCCGCCUGGUUGCACGGGCACUCCGAGGCGGCCGGGUGGGAAGAACAGUGGACAUUGCUAGGCGAUUACAUCACACCCCUGGGCAGCUGCCCACGCCACCCCAACCAGACUGUGGCCGUCUCGGGGUGGGAAGAUAGGAUGUGUGCUGCUCUCCCUGUGACAGGUUUAUCUGCACAGAGCUCACUCCGUUCUGAGGAUUAGUUUGAAAACAAUUAAAUUUCUGAGCAAAACGAGCAGAGGCUGGUGAGCAGCAGCGACCCAUGAAGGGCCUUUAGCAACAGAAAUCUCAACCGGACAACCAGAGCGCAAAAGCAGCUCAGCGGGCGAGAGGAGAGGGGAGCAACCGAGGGGAGCAACCGAGAGGCUCUUCUGGACUGCCCUGCUCCUGCCACCCCCUCCCAGGAAUGGCAAAUCCAGGCGCAAUUGCUGUGUGACACUGCAGGGACUUGCAGGAGACUAACAGGUGCAAUUUAUCCCAAGAGUACUUCCAGAGUAUUUUCAAGCCCCCGUCCUCUGUGAGGCCGCCAAGAUGCACGUGGUCAUCUUUCUGGCAUCUGAAGGAACCAAAUUUAGUCGAGAUGCAGCCGAGGACAAGGUGUCUCUCAGGAGGCAGAGGACUCACAUCGUCAGGCAUCCUCGGGGUCCCUGGAGUGCAGCCUCUGUCUGAGACUCUCGUGGACCUCACCCCAAUGUGACCCUGGCUGGGGGUUUCAAGAAGCUGACUAGACGUGCGGGUCAGGAGCAUGCAUGUGCACCAUUCUCUCCCUGCAUUCACUCCCUGUGAGUGAGUCCUGAGGGACUGGGCCAGGAGCAGAUUCUAGUUCCUGGUUUUCCUGAAAAAUUCCCUUGGAAUCUACUUGGCCAGAGGCCUAGGCUACUCAGAGGCAUCUCCUUCCUUCCCACCUCAAGCAGAAGCAUCUGUGAUUGGUGGCUGCCACACCCAAUAAAGACAGAACUCCCUGGGGUGAUUCAUCUGACCUUCAGAAGCCCUGGGCUCUCUUCGGGACAGUUCCCAGUUGGAUUUUUCCUCUUGGCCUCAGAUCCCACAUCUGGGAAGUGGACACAGCAGCCUCAGCUGCCCUGAAAAGGGGUAGGCUGAGCAUCACGUGAGCACCCUACACAGGAAGUGGCCAGGCCAAGUGGAGACGGAGGUCUCAUUACAAACAUCUACUCAUCCCAAGAGACCCUAGGUCUGAGCCCCAGCCUCCUUCUGCCAAGCUAGUGAGAACCUGGACCAAUGGCAGGCUCCUGUACCACAAUUUCUCUGUCUGUUAAAGGGGCAGAAAUGCCAGGGUGGUGAAUGAAGGCAUUAGCUUUAUCACAGAAGUCACAGUAAACCACUGCGAUGUCUACCAAGAAAAGCUCUGGCGGUCUGAGAAACAAGGCUUCGGGGGUUAGGCACUUUGGGGCCUUGUGUGGCCUCUCCUGCCUCAUUCCUGACUGCCAGGCUAAAGAUAUCGUGGUUGUAUUUAUUCAUCUGUGCCCUGCAAGCCUGCCCUUUGCCUAGAGGCAUCUUCAGGAGCUCCAUCCUUCUCAUACCUCCCCACAGAGUCUCUUCUACCAGAUGACCCUGGAAGGAAGCAGCCAUACAGGAUGACAUCUGUGAUUUAAUCAUGGAUGACAGAAGGGCUCUGUCAGCCCCAACCCUAGUCUUGGCCUCCAGGCCCGAGUCCUCUCCUCCAGUGGACUGAGGAAGGUGAACUUCCUAAGCCCCUUGGUCAAGUGGUAACCUAGGGCCGGGCUGAGAUCUGGACUUUCCAGAGGUGCUGGAAUGGGAACCGCUGUUUUUGCCACUUAGCCCAGACAUGGAGAAAUCACAGCCCUGCUUUUCCAGGUGCUGUGACCCUGGAGGGUGACUUGCUCCUCUCUCCUCAGUUUCUCUGACUGCAUGGAGUCUUUACAGUCUAGAGGACUCGAGACUCCCUGUCUGGGGUCCUGCUCUGGCCCUGAGGUGGAGUAUAGUCAGCUUGAUUGGGGUGAAGCAGUGUUUCUGGCCAUGUGUCCUGCUGGCUAUGAUCUUUUCCCUAGCUCUUGAAGGUACCUCAAAAGAGAAUCGAGGACCUCCUAUGUGUAAAAUACCUUGCCACCCAAGUACUCAGCUGAGAACCCCUCAUAGGCCUGAAUACCCCAUACCCUGUCACCUGCCAUCUCUGGAGUUGGCCACUGCUAGGCAAAAGGCACCCUGGGAGGAGGGGGUGAGGGCAGGAUCAGGUAGCUGUGUCUGUAUUUGUCACGGACACAGCUGAUCAGUGCUUUGGGCCCCUCCACAAAGGCAGCUGGCAGGCUCAGUGCUUAUAUUGCCUGAAAGGAUCCAGAAACCCUCCCACCUUUUCCUGGAUGUUCAAACUUAUUCCACCCAGAAGACCUGACUUCUGUUUGAACUAUCAGAGCCCAUUACGUUCUCUGUUUCCAUACAAUCUGUCAGAAUGCUUCCUCUGCAGCCCAGGGAUGCAAGCAUCCUGGGCAGGAGAAUAUGAAGGUAACAAGCGAUUGAAUGGGGCCAGUGGCCAGGGUGGGAUUAACUCAGGGUGAGUUACUGCUGAGACCGUAGCAUUCCUCUCUGAGGUGGUAAGCGUGUGCACACUUGAUUGUGGAGAUGUGAAAGUGUGACAAGCCACAGCUGUACAGUUGGUGAAGGGCUGAACAACAGUGUGAGAAAUAGGUAUCAAAGAUGCUGGAGCCAGGGAUGGUGGCUCAGACCUGUAAUCCCAGCAGGCAAAGCAGGAGGGUUGCUAUGUAAUGAGAUGCAGGCACACGUAGCCCUCACAGGCCAUGCGAUUCUUGACUCAGCACAGAGCAGCGAGGCCUUUGGAACACGUUGUAUCGACAGCACACCCAGGAACUGUAAUAUUCUGUUGCACCCUAAGUGUGGCCUUGGAAACCCAGUGUCUUUAAGGGUAAUUAUUUAAGUAGAAGCCACAGAGAGUCAGAGAUUCUAAUCUGAAAAUAACAUUGUUAUGGAAACUGGGAGGGGACAGAUGCAGAAGAGCAGGGGGUCUGAGGGUCAAGAUGGCAGCUCCAGGGCCAAGCGCCUCUUCCAGGGCAGAGAAGCCCUCUCCAUGCCUUGACUGUGCCACCCAGGCUAUAGGGCUAGAGGGUAGACUGUGCCCUUUCAUAGUCUUUCAUCUCAGGCCCUGGGAAAUGGUACACCUCUUUGUGGAGGUGGUUGUGCCCCGCCUAAGCACACAUUGUCCCAUCAUCCAGCCUCUUUCUACCAAUAACUAGACUUUGCUCCCUGUGUGUGUGUGUGUGUGUGUGUGUGUGUGUGUGUGUGUGUGUGUGUGUACACCAGCAUCUCCACUCUGUAAAUGACAGGACCAUGUGGAGCAGGCUUCAUCCUUUGUCCUGACUGUAAGCAACAGAGGAGACUCAGAGAAGUUGUGUCAUUGCACAAAGGCACACAGCAGGAGAAGUGAACUUGGGAUCUUGUCAGAUGGCGAUCAUUUUAUAUAAAACGCACUAGAGGACAAAGGAUUGGGGCUGGGCAAAAACUCUUGUAGUAAGGUGACAGUUUCCCUUUCUGGAUGUGUGUGUGUAUGGAUGAGUGCAUGUGUGUGUGUUUUGCGGGUUCAGAGUGUGAGAAUCUAUAGAAGCCAGAGAGCAUGCUGAGUGUCAUUCUUUCUUUUUUUCCAUUUUUUAAAAUUUAUUAUUUUUUUAAUUAGGUAUUUCUGAGUGUCUUUCUUAGCUGCCCUUUACCUUAUCUUUUGAGACAGAGUCUCUUUAUGAACCUGGAGCUCACCAAUCCAGCAAGUCCAGCGGCAGCAAGCCCCAGAGAUCCAUCUGUCUCCACCUCCCCUCACAGGGAUUAGAGGCUUAGGCCACAGCACUCCCUGCUUUUAUAUAGGUUCUAAGGACCCAAGUUUGGAUCCUUAUGUCUGUGUGGCAGGCACUGUGCUAAAUAACCUGUCUCCCUAGCCUCUCUAGUUAAUUUUGGCAUGCUCCAGUGAACAUGAUGGCAAUCUAUCUACAAGAUCAACGUUGCCUUUAACCAUUUGUCUUUUGCUGUUCUUCCUUGGGGCUUUGGGCUCUGAAGAUGAUGGUAGCAAUGACCACGAUGGUACCAAGGAUGGUGGCUUCUCUGUUCAAGCACAUCUUGCUGAACCAAUGAGCUUAUUGGGGUUAAUUACUUACAAGAGUGCUGGUGACCUUAAACAGCUGCAUCACAGAAAAACCAAUCCAGAAUGGGGACAACUCAUGGAAGCGCCAUCUCUCAUGACCAUGCCUGCCCAUUUCCUAGACCUCGGGCAGCCAAGGCAGGAGGGACUGGUAUCUGGAAUCUUAGGUGAUUAUCUGGGGAUGCCUCCUUCUUCCAUAGGGGAACGUUAAUCGCCCAUCACUAUUACUGCAGACCCAGCUGUCACUGCAUGGUUCUGCCAUGGCCAAGGUGACCUGUAGAUCACAGCAACAACUUGUUCCAUGACAGUGAUGGUCAUGUGCCUGGUGAAAAACAGCGCCACUACACAGCCACACACUGUUGGACCUCACUAAACCAAAUGAAAAAUUUAUUCCUCAUAGCAGCCAGUAUUAUAUUGACUGCUAAGCAUAAUCAAUAUCACAAUUUUGAUGUAUAAUAAUCUUUUGUUAUUGGUUUUUGGAGA